AGUGUUUCGCAGCCCUGGCAAAGCAAGUAGCUGAAUGGAGGCUUGAUAAGCUGGUUGAGAGGGAGGAUUAGUAGCUGUAGCAGGGUAUUUUGUUGUACCCUAACUCAGUUGGAGCUGAGUUAAUGGUCUAAGAAGCAGGUUCGCAGCAGAGGAUGUGAACCCUGCAGCUAGGUUUUGGUGAAUUUUGAAGCAGAGUUUGGAAGUGAUUCUUCGACCCUGAGCUAAGGAAAAGCUGGAUUGAAGUUUGGAGAAAGUGAUUAGCUCACCACUUGCCUUAUGUUUAUGCUAUAUUAGGUCUAUUGGUGAGGUAGUGAUGCAGUUUUGGAACUAUGUUCACAGCAGGUUUAUUAAUCACUUUGAGCUGAAUAUUGGUACUCUUGUGAGCUGAUUUGGGGUGCUUCAACUUGGGUUGGAGUGGAGGUUUAGCCUUGAUCUAAACCUAGGUGAGAUUCUAGCCUAUACUUAGUAACUAUGUAGGUUGUAA